GCCUCUGAAGCUCAGUUGGUUAGAGCGCUGUACCGGCAUCAGAGGGUCGCAGGUUCCAGCCAGAGGUG